rnacentral:rRNA from 1 species
AAUAGAUACCCCGGUAGUCCACGCCGUAAACGAUGGAUGCUAGCUGUUAUGCGUAUCGACCCGUGUAGUAGCGAAGCUAACGCGUUAAGCAUCCCGCCUGGGGAGUACGAACGCAAGUUUAAAACUCAAAGGAAUUGACGGGGACCCGCACAAGCGGUGGAGCGUGUUCUUUAAUUCGAGGCUAAGCGAAGAACCUUACCAGGGCUUGACAUCCUUGGAAUUUCUCCGAAAGGAGAGAGUACUUUAUUGGACCAAGUGACAGGUGCUGCAUGGCCGUCGUCAGCUCGUGUCGUGAGAUGUUUGGUUAAGUCCAUUAACGAGCGCAACCCUUAUGAAUAGUUGUAUUUUUCUAUUCAGACUGCCCCGGUAACGGGGAGGAAGGGGGGAUGAUGUCAGGUCAGUAUUGCCCUUACGCCCUGGGCUAGAAACGCGCUACAAUGGCCGGUACAAUGCGCUGCCAACCCGCGAGGGGAGCAAAUCGCAUCAAAGCCGGUCCCAGUUCGGAUAAGAGGCUGAAACUCGCCUCUUUGAAGCCGGAAUCGCUAGUAAUCGU